CAGUUCAAGAAAUUUAUAUUCAAAAAUUUUCUUAAGAAUACACAUGAUUUUACAAGAUCAUUCAUCAUAGCACCAAGCCUAAUAUUCCUUAAUAGAAAACAGUCAAAUAACAAAUACUCCAGUUAAUUCCCACAGGUAUAAAUUAUUCAAAUAGCCAUUUAUAUCUUAAUUUACAGUAAUCAAUAAAUAAGACGGCACAUUCAUAUAUUGUUUAUAAAGAUCUUUUUUUUUACAAAGCUACAGCUAUGUAUAUCCUAAAUAGACAAAAAUAAUCCUUGUACUACAAAAUAACAUUUCAUUUUCCUCAAUAGUUUUCUUAGAGCUCUCAGUAAAAACUUUCAGACAUAGUCAAUUAAGCCCUGCACAAUAAGGAAACAUUCAAUCUGCUCAAUAGACCAGACUCCCCCAAAAUAAAACAAUGAUCACCACCCACUACAAUAUGGUCUGAACAAUCUCCUGUCUCCAAGUUUAGUUAAGUCUGUCCUGAGGAUGUACAGUAGGGAACGACCAUUUUUCCGUGUUCACAAUUUGUCUUUGGCGGAUAGUAUCAGCACCACUGUGAGUGACAUAGGCAGCAUCUUAUGGUGCAAUUUCAAGGGCAGAGGGCAGGUGUCCCCUGCACCACAUUCCCUCCCCACAGCUACCGCCCCUACCCCAGGGACAUUCUACACAAACACACCAGCAUUUGGCUUAAGGGAUCCUUGUUGGAAUGCAAACGGCUCCGAUUCUGAGUAGAAUUUCAGAAGCCUUUUUGAGUCGUUACUCGGGGAAGGGGAAAAGAUGAGGGAUGGGAAGAUCUAGUCCUGUACAGCUAUUUAUUCCUGCAGUUGAACUUUUGAAUUUAAAAGAAAUUCCCUUAGGAAACUGCCUCAGAUGCUGACGUAAUUUAAGGAGACCAAUUUCCUUCUAACAGCCCUAGGAAGCAGAUUUCCCAGGUUCUACUUCAAACAUUCAUCUGAAACCUUUAAGAUUCAGACUACCUUCUGUCUGACCAAACUCUUCCCAAAGGCACCUUUCUCAGAUACUAAAGCCAAGAAGCACUGCCCUAAGCUUUGGGCUGAUAUACAGAGGUACACUUGCUUUAAGCAAAUAGGCCACUUAUUGAGAUAAAUAAAAACUACCUUCGUAACCUUUGGAUUUUUAAACUUAGAAAGGACUUUUAAAAGAAGUCUUCCCACUUCCAACCCAGAGAGGUAAAUUCAAGGCAUCUGCAGGUGAGCCACAGCUAGGACGUGGGUUCUCCAUACCCAUACCAGUGUUGGCCUGCUUUGGACAAUGUCAACUCUCCAGACAACAGGCACUCCCAGAGUUUCCUUUAAAAAAGUGUCUAAAUCCUUGCAUGACAUUUAGCAAUACUGGCAUUCUGGCACAGCAUGGGCUUGUAGAGAAUACACACCUAUUGAUUUUUGCUGGGGCUAAAGGAAGUGGUAGCUAUUGCAAACAGAAUACAAGUAUCAAAUGAUAUUUUGCUAUUUUGUUUUUUGUAACAAUGCAAAAAUCACUACUUUUAAGCUUAAAAUACAGGAAAAAUAAUAAUCCCUGCCUCAGAGACCAACCAGUUAUGAAUUCAUCCAAGUAAUUCGUGGUCUCUACUUCUCCAUUUUAAUUACACUGCCCUCAGGCCUUCUCUACUUUUCUUUUUGAAGGAGAAAGCCCAAUUUCCUACUCUGUGAAGUACGUGUUAGAGGUGCAGAGAUGAGCAGCUGGGGGCAGGAUGUAUAGUUAAUUGGAGGCCCUGAAGAACUGUCUUUGAUGUUGGACACUGAGAUUUUACUGCAAAAGACCCUUUCAAGGCGGCCAUUUUGGUUGCAAAUUUGCAACUGCAGUGAAGUUUAGAGUGUUUGAAAAUAACAGUCCUAUGUUCCCAGUUCUGCUACUUACUAGUUCACGCUAUGACCUUAUUUUUCUGUCCUGUGCUUUAGCUUCCUUUCCGAAAUAAACACCUCCCACGAUUGUUCUAAGGGUCAAGUGAGUUAAUGAGUAAACAAUGGCUUAAACUUCCUCUUGCAAAAAGGCCUGAGUUAGAUUUGAGACAGGGUAGCUCAGAAAAAAGUAAUGGAUUGGAGAGAGGUUGGAAGAAGCUAUGGUACACUAAGGGUUAGGGAAAGAGGUAUAGUCAACGCUUGCUUCAAGAGGAAGGAAAUAGAGAAAAGGGGGCUGCUGGGCAUCCUACAACUUCAUAAACUUUCAAGAAAAGUAUUUUUCAUCCAACAAAUAUGUGCUGAAUGCCUAUAAUGCACAGAAGCUCAGAAGUUAGUUUGCCAAGAUCACCCAGAGAUCUGGUGACAGAGCUGGGACUCCAAUCUAAAUCUGGCUGACUCCCAAACCUGACUUCUUUCUCUAGCCCACAAUACCUCCCAGAGAAGAAGGCAGUGAUUAAAAUGAAAACAAAAAAAAGGGUUCCUUUAAAGAGAACACUGCUAGAUGAAGCUAUUCUUGACAUCUGAGUGUCAGGGAUUUAAACAAAUUAGCAGUGCGAUUGAGGCCGUGGAUUGUUGAGGCAUGUGUAUAUUUAAAAACAACUUGGUCAAACAGUACAAAAUACUGGUUGUCUUUUUCCCAUAGACAAGAAUGUUUUUUGGCAUGUUGCUCCAGCCCUGGCUGGGAGGAACUGCUUGCUUGAUGUGUUCUCAUCAAGGUUCUCAGAACAAGUUCUAAACACAAAGAAGCCAGUAUUCCCAGCAUUGUGGGGUCUGGCAACUGCAGAACACUCAGCUCAGAAACUCUGAUAACUUUUGUGGGCUCUUGGGGAACCAGCAGCUCUGAGUCUCCAGGCUUUUGACCCACACCUGACCAAGCUCACCCCAUGCCCUGUCUCACACACAAUGGUAGAGAAGUGACAAGACCUGAAGGUCCUGUAGGACUCUUAAGAAAAAUCAGAGUGAAGGCCAGGCACAGUGGUUCAUGCCUAUAAUCCCAGCAUUUUGGUAGGCCAAGGCAGGAGAUCUAAGAUCAUUUACUGACAAUAGGCAGCAAAACCAGGGGGAAGGAAGGAAGGUAAUAACUAAUCAUGGCAUUCAAGCAGAGCUUAGCCAUGCUAUGUAUCCCUCUCCUGCACUUGGCACAGCAUUACACAAAAUCACUUAGCAGACCACAGCUCAACAGGAUGGAUGUUGCUGCAGUCCCAGCUGGACUCAGGGCACGUUCACAAACCAGUCAGAGCAGCAAGCCCCCUAAGCAACCUGUGAGAUAACUCAAAUGGGGUUUAUGGAUCAAGAUGGUAUACUGAACACAUGAGCCUGUUUCUUCCCUCAUGAAACCCCAUGAAAAUAGGAGCAGAGGAAUGAAAGUUAUAUUAAUACAACCAUGAACACAGAAUACAGAAGAGAACAGUAAGCAAGAGCUAGCAACCUAUUUAUGCAGGAAUGGAACUGAUGGAAAAGUGAGCAGGGAGGGGGAUCCUAAAACCACAUGCCUGCAGAGGGGAGGCCACAGAGUGGUCAGCAGAGAUGCCCUGUGGCCUCCAGGAGAGGCUUGGGGAUUGGAAUAGGAGGGAUGGGGUGAGACAUGGGGCUGAAGACCAGGGCAUUUAUUGGCUCUGAGGUCCCCUGUCCUUCCCAUGCAGCCAGAUGACCACUGUGCUCCUACUCCAUGGAGAAAUCAGAGCAGCUCCAACUCAGGGACACCAGGCACAGCAAAGGUUGAAGCAACUUAAUGAAAGUCUA
rnacentral:lncRNA from 10 species